UUGUGAAUGUUUUGAACAAAAGAUCAAAAGGUUAAAUAAUAAAGACAAAUUUUCACAGCCUUCUUUGCUCAUAUAUACCAAGGGUGCCAAUGUUAGUGGAGGGCACUAUACAUGCUUGUGCAGUCAUACACACAUACACACUUAUUCUAAUCUACACUCCUCUUGCGUGACCUGCCAAUUCAGCCCUUUUCCCAAUACACUUCCAAAACACAAUGAAAAGUAGUAUUUCACAGGAUUUCCCACUAGCAAUUCAGCCCUCUAUUGAUACACUUCCUCAACAUGACUGUGGCUCAACACAGGGGCAGCUGUGGCGCAGGUGGUAGAGCGGGUUGUCCACUAAUUGUAUAGCUGUGGCCCAACAUGGGGGUGGCUGUGGCUUAGGUGGUAGAGCGGGUUGUCCACUAAUCGUAGGGUUGGCGGUUCGAUUCCUGGCCCACAUGACUCCACAUGUUGAAGUGUCCUUGGGCAAGACACUGAACUCCAAGUUGCUCCCAAUGGCAAAUUAGUGCACUGCAUGGCGUGUGUGUGUGAAUGAGACACAUUGUAAAUCGCUAUAUAAGUGCGCCAUUUACAAUAGAGUGGUAUCCAUAGGACUUCCUGUGACAUAGUUCCUGUUUUCAAAUUGUUUAUUGGGAAGCUUCUUUUAAUCGUUUAAACUAUACUGUAGCGCAAAUAAUUUUGCAUUAUAGUUUUUUUUUUGUUGUUGUAGUUUCACUUCUGCCAUAUUUUCUUUUUUUUUGAAGACCACUCUUGUUUUUUUUUUACUAAAGACAGCAAGCAGAGUCCAUCCACAUCGGAUCUGUCUAAAAUAACGUCAACUAAUCUUCGGCUAAGCUACACACACUCCUGAGAUACCAGUGAUCCUGACCCCUUCUGCUCUCCAGACCUGCCUGAUCCGUCCUGAUGCCCUAUUUCUGGUUGGAGUUCUCAUCGAUUGGAAGUCACAUGCUGCUGCUGCUGAGGAUGGUACCACUUCAAAAUCAUAAAGAUGGCUUUGAACCUCAAUUCAACAGUUAUGCUGUGAUGGCUAGGACUACAAUUGAUAUUAUAGCUUUAGGACUGCAGUUGCCACAAACAGUUGUAAUGAAUAAAAACUGUAAUGAGUUUCCUGGUUACACAAUUGCACUUUUUGACCACGUAGUAUUAGCACAUUUAUAGACGGGAUUUAUUUAUAAUCAUACUAUCCAGUGUCACCCAGAUGAGGAUGGUUUCCCUUUUGGUCUGGUUCCUCUCAAGGUUUCUUACUCAUAUCAUCUCAGGGAGUUUUUCCUUACCACCCUCACCUCUGGCUUGCUCAUUAGGGAUAAAUUCAUACAUUUAAAAUCUACAUCUUGAAUUUAUAUAUUUCUGUAAAGCUGCUUUGGGACAAUGUCCAUUGUUAAAACUGCUAUACCAAUGAACCGAAUUACCUGCACAGCACCUCAAAGUAUAAAUAAACUCUCAGUUCUUAUACUCUUUGCGAAGUAUAGGCUCUGUGUCUUGUUACCAAUCGAUACCAAGCCAUUUAUUUAUUGCAUGAUAUUUUGGUUUUGACCUCUGCUGCCAUUUAUGUUGUUGGCCUUGCCUGCCCUAGUAUAUGUUGUUUGUUCAUCGCCUGACCCUUGCCUGUUUUUAUGGUAAACACUGCUAUAAGUCCACCACAUGGGAAAUGCUGGUGACUCUUCCUUUUAUUUGUAUUAAAACCACUCAAAUAAAUGUAAUGAUUAAAUCAGUCCAUUAACAACAAA